rnacentral:rRNA from 1 species
GUGCCAGCAGCCGCGGUAAUUCCAGCUCCAAUAGCGUAUAUUAAAGUUGUUGUGGUUAAAAAGCUCGUAGUUGAACCUUGGGCCUGGCUGGCCGGUCCGCCUCACCGCGUGCACUGGUCCGGCCGGGCCUUUCCCUCUGUGGAACCCCAUACCCUUCACUGGGCGUGGCGGGGAAACAGGACAUUUACUUUGAAAAAAUUAGAGUGCUCCAGGCAGGCCCAUGCUCGAAUACAUUAGCAUGGAAUAAUAAAAUAGGACGCGCGGUUCUAUUUUGUUGGUUUAUAGGACCGCCGUAAUGAUUAAUAGGGACAGUCGGGGGCAUCAGUAUUCAACUGUCAGAGGUGAAAUUCUUGGAUCAGUUGAAGACUAACUACUGCGAAAGCAUUUGCCAAGGAUGUUUUCAUUAAUCAGGAACGAAAGUUAGGGGAUCGAAGACGAUCAGAUACCGUCGUAGUCUUAACCAUAAACUAUGCCGACUAGGGAUCGGACGGUGUUAUUCAUGACCCGUUCGGCACCUUACGAGAAAUCAAAGUGCUUGGGCUCCAGGGGGAGUAUGGUCGCAAGGCUGAAACUUAAAGAAAUUGACGGAAGGGCACCACCAGGGGUGGAGCCUGCGGCUUAAUUUGACUCAACACGGGGAAACUCACCAGGUCCAGACACAAUAAGGAUUGACAGAUUGAGAGCUCUUUCUUGAUUUUGUGGGUGGUGGAUGCAUGACCGUUCUUAGUUGGUGGGGUGACUUGUCUGCUUAAUUGCGGAUAACGGAACGAGACCUUUAACCUGCUCA